GACGAACGCUGGCGGCGUGCUUAACGCAUGCAAGUUGAACGAAGCAUAUGGAAACCCCUUCGGGGUUGGAAAUAUGACUUAGCGGCGGACGGGUGAGUAACGCGUGAGCAACCUACCCAUAAGAGGGGGACAACAGCUGGAAACGGCUGCUAAUACCGCAUAAGACCACACUACCGCAUGGUAGAGGGGUCAAAGAUUAAUUACUUAUGGAUGGGCUCGCGUCCCAUUAGCUAGUUGGUGAGGUAACUGCUCACCAAGGCGACGAUGGGUAGCCGACCUGGGAGGGUGAUCGGCCACACUGGAACUGAGACACGGUCCAGACUCCUACGGGAGGCAGCAGUAGGGAAUAUUGGGCAAUGGGCGAAAGCCUGACCCAGCAACGCCGCGUGAGGGAAGAAUGUUUUCGGAUUGUAAACCUCUGUCCUAUGGGACGAAAAGAAUGACGGUACCAUAGGAGGAAGCCCCGGCUAACUACGUGCCAGCAGCCGCCGUAA
rnacentral:rRNA from 1 species